rnacentral:hammerhead_ribozyme from 1 species
AUCCAGCUGACGAAUCCCAAAUAAAACAAAACGCGCUUCCUGUAU